rnacentral:rRNA from 1 species
CUGUAAGCGUAUACCAAAGUUGUUGCAGUUAAAACGCUCGUAGUCGGACAUUGGUAGUUCCGGGGGUGUGCGCGUCGUGUGCAUGCUCUGCGGGGACUGCUUUAGUGGUGUUGUCGGAGGGAUGAAGCAUUUUAAUUAAUGAACGUCCGCCGCACCCACUUUUUACUGUGAGAAAAUCAGAGUGCUCAAAGCAGGCAAUUGCCGUGAAUGUAUUAGCAUGGAAUAAUAGAAUAGGACUCGUUUCUAUUUUGUUGGUUUGUUAGGAAUGAGUAAUGAUUAAGAGGGACAGUUGGGGGCAUUUGUAUUACGAGGCUAGAGGUGAAAUUCUUAGAUUCUCGUAAGACAAACUGCUGCGAAAGCGUCUGCCAAGGAUGUUUUCAUUGA